AUUGAACGCUGGCGGCAGGCCUAACACAUGCAAGUCGAACGGUAGCACAGAGAGCUUGCUCUCGGGUGACGAGUGGCGGACGGGUGAGUAAUGUCUGAGAAACUGCCCGAUGGAGGGGGAUAACUACUGGAAACGGUAGCUAAUACCGCGUAACGUCGCAAGACCAAAGUGGGGGACCUUCGGGCCUCACACCAUCGGAUGCGCCCAGAUGGGAUUAGCUAGUAGGUGGGGUAAUGGCUCACCUAGGCGAAGAUCCCUAGCUGGUCUGAGAGGAUGACCAGCCACACUGGAACUGAGACACGGUCCAGACUCCUACGGGAGGCAGCAGUGGGGAAUAUUGCACAAUGGGCGCAAGCCUGAUGCAGCCAUGCCGCGUGUAUGAAGAAGGCCUUCGGGUUGUAAAGUACUUUCAGCGGGGAGGAAGGCGGUGAAGUUAAUAGCUUCACCGAUUGACGUUACCCGCAGAAGAAGCACCGGCUAACUCCGUGCCAGCCGCCGCAGUAA
rnacentral:rRNA from 1 species